ACAACACCUAGGAGGAUCCUGAGUACGGCGGAACACGAGAAAUUCCGUCGGAAUCCGCGGGGACCAUCCCGCAAGGCUAAAUACUCCCUAGUGACCGAUAGUGAACCAGUACCGUGAGGGAAAGGUGAAAAGCACCCCGGAAGGGGAGUGAAAUAGAUCCUGAAACCGUGUGCCUACAACAAGUCAAAGCUCGUUAAUGAGUGAUGGCGUGCCUUUUGUAGAAUGAACCGGCGAGUUACGAUUGCAUGCGAGGUUAAGUCGAAGAGACGGAGCCGCAGCGAAAGCGAGUCUGAAUAGGGCGAAUGAGUAUGUAGUCGUAGACCCGAAACCAUGUGAUCUACCCAUGUCCAGGUUGAAGGUGCGGUAAAACGCACUGGAGGACCGAACCCACGUACGUUGAAAAGUGCGGGGAUGAGGUGUGGGUAGCGGAGAAAUUCCAAACGAACUUGGAGAUAGCUGGUUCUCUCCGAAAUAGCUUUAGGGCUAGCCUCGGAAUUGAGAAUGAUGGAGGUAGAGCACUGUUUGGACUAGGGGCCCAUCUCGGGUUACCGAAUUCAGAUAAACUCCGAAUGCCAUUCAUUUAUAUCCGGGAGUCAGACUGCGAGUGAUAAGAUCCGUAGUCGAAAGGGAAACAGCCCAGACCACCAGCUAAGGUCCCAAAAUAUAUGUUAAGUGGAAAAGGAUGUGGGGUUGCACAGACAACUAGGAUGUUGGCUUAGAAGCAGCCACCAUUUAAAGAGUGCGUAAUAGCUCACUAGUCGAGUGACCCUGCGCCGAAAAUGUACCGGGGCUAAACAUAUUACCGAAGCUGUGGACUACACCAUUAGGUGUAGUGGUAGGAGAGCGUUCUAAGGGCGUUGAAGGUCGAUCGUGAGGACGGCUGGAGCGCUUAGAAGUGAGAAUGCCGGUAUGAGUAGCGAAAGACAGGUGAGAAUCCUGUCCACCGUAUGACUAAGGUUUCCUGGGGAAGGCUCGUCCGCCCAGGGUUAGUCGGGACCUAAGCCGAGGCCGAUAGGCGUAGGCGAUGGACAACAGGUUGAUAUUCCUGUACCAGUUGUUUUUGUUUGAGCAAUGGAGGGACGCAGUAGG
rnacentral:rRNA from 1 species